CCUACGGGGGGCUGCAGUGGGGAAUAUUGGACAAUGGGGGCAACCCUGAUCCAGCCAUGCCGCGUGUGUGAAGAAGGCCUUAGGGUUGUAAAGCACUUUCAGUGGGGAGAAAAGUUGUUUACUUAAUACGUAAGCAAAUUGAUGUUACCCACAGAAGAAGCACCGGCUAACUCCGUGCCAGCAGCCGCGGUAAUACGGAGGGUGCAAGCGUUAAUCGGAAUUACUGGGCGUAAAGCGCACGUAGGUGGUUUGUUAAGCCAGCUGUGAAAUCCCCG
rnacentral:rRNA from 1 species